UACGGGGGGAGCAAGCGUUGUUCGGAUUUACUGGGCGUAAAGGGCGCGUAGGCGGCCAGCACAAGUCAGUUGUGAAAUCUCCGAGCUUAACUCGGAAAGGUCAACUGAUACUGUGCGGCUAGAGUGCGGAAGGGGCAACUGGAAUUCUUGGUGUAGCGGUGAAAUGCGUAGAUAUCAAGAGGAACACCUGCGGCGAAGGCGGGUUGCUGGGCCGACACUGACGCUGAUGCGCGAAAGCC
rnacentral:rRNA from 1 species